rnacentral:rRNA from 1 species
GACGAACGCUGGCGGCGUGCCUAAUACAUGCAAGUCUAGCGAAGUUUUUCUGGUGCUUGCACUAGAAAAACUUAGCGGCGAACGGGUGAGUAACACGUAAAGAACCUGCCUCAUAGACUGGGACAACUAUUGGAAACGAUAGCUAAUACCGGAUAACAGUAUUUCUCGCAUGAGAGAUAUUUAAAAGUUGGUUAUGCUAACACUAUGAGAUGGCUUUGCGGUGCAUUAGCUAGUUGGUGGGGUAAAGGCCCACCAAGGCGACGAUGCAUAGCCGACCUGAGAGGGUGAUCGGCCACACUGGGACUGAGACACGGCCCAGACUCCUACGGGAGGCAGCAGUAGGGAAUCUUCCGCAAUGGGCGAAAGCCUGACGGAGCAACGCCGCGUGAGUGAAGAAGGAGUUCGGUUCGUAAAGCUCUGUUGUUAGGGAAGAAUGGAUAUGUAGUAACUAUACAUGUAAGAGACGGUACCUAACCAGAAAGCCACGGCUAACUACGUG